rnacentral:rRNA from 1 species
AUUGAACGCUGGCGGCAUGCUUUACACAUGCAAGUUGAACGGUAACAGGCCGCAAGGUGCUGACGAGUGGCGAACGGGUGAGUAAUGCAUCGGAACGUGCCCAGUCGUGGGGGAUAACGCAGCGAAAGUUGCGCUAAUACCGCAUACGAUCUAUGGAUGAAAGCGGGGGACCGUAAGGCCUCGCGCGAUUGGAGCGGCCGAUGUCAGAUUAGGUGGUUGGUGGGGUAAAGGCUCACCAAGCCGACGAUCUGUAGCUGGUCUGAGAGGACGACCAGCCACACUGGGACUGAGACACGGCCCAGACUCCUACGGGAGGCAGCAGUGGGGAAUUUUGGACAAUGGGCGCAAGCCUGAUCCAGCAAUGCCGCGUGCAGGAAGAAGGCCUUCGGGUUGUAAACUGCUUUUGUACGGAACGAAACGGUCCUGGUUAAUACCCGGGGCUAAUGACGGUACCGUAAGAAUAAGCACCGGCUAACUACGUGCCAGCCGCCGCGGUAA